UACGGGGGGGGCAAGCGUUGUUCGGAAUUACUGGGCGUAAAGGGCUCGUAGGCGGCCAACUAAGUCAGACGUGAAAUCCCCAGGCUCAACCUGGGAACUGCGUCUGAUACUGAAUGGCUUGAAUCCGGGAGAGGGAUGCAGAAUUCCAGGUGUAGCGGUGAAAUGCGUAGAUAUCUGGAGGAAUACCGGUGGCGAAGGCGGCAUCCUGGACCGGCAUUGACGCUGAGGAGCGAAAGCCAGGGGAGCAAACGGG
rnacentral:rRNA from 1 species